UGUUUCGGCUAGGGGGCCAUCCCGGCUUACCAACCCGAUGCAAACUGCGAAUACCGGAGAAUGUUAUCACGGGAGACACACGGCGGGUGCUAACGUCCGUCGUGAAGAGGGAAACAACCCAGACCGCCAGCUAAGGUCCCAAAGUCAUGGUUAAGUGGGAAACGAUGUGGGAAGGCCCAGACAGCCAGGAUGUUGGCUUAGAAGCAGCCAUCAUUUAAAGAAAGCGUAAUAGCUCACUGGUCGAGUCGGCCUGCGCGGAAGAUGUAACGGGGCUAAACCAUGCACCGAAGCUGCGGCAGCGAACGUAUCACCCAAGACAACUUUACGGAGUUAACGAUUGACGGAGCGAAGCGACGUCAAAGCGUUCAUUAAAGUCGAGUUGGCUUAGGGAUACGUUCGUUGGGUAGGGGAGCGUUCUGUAAGCCUGUGAAGGUGGCCUGUGAGGGUUGCUGGAGGUAUCAGAAGUGCGAAUGCUGACAUAAGUAACG
rnacentral:rRNA from 1 species